GAUGAACGCUGGCGGCGUGCCUAAUACAUGCAAGUCGAGCGAACAGACGAGGAGCUUGCUCCUCUGACGUUAGCGGCGGACGGGUGAGUAACACGUGGAUAACCUACCUAUAAGACUGGGAUAACUUCAGGAAACCGGAGCUAAUACCGGAUAAUAUAUUGAACCGCAUGGUUCAAUAGUGAAAGACGGUUUUGCUGUCACUUAUAGAUGGAUCCGCGCCGCAUUAGCUAGUUGGUAAGGUAACGGCUUACCAAGGCAACGAUGCGUAGCCGACCUGAGAGGGUGAUCGGCCACACUGGAACUGAGACACGGUCCAGACUCCUACGGGAGGCAGCAGUAGGGAAUCUUCCGCAAUGGGCGAAAGCUUGACGGAGCAACGCCGCGUGAGUGAUGAAGGUCCUCGGAUCGUAAAACUCUGUUAUUAGGGAAGAACAAAUGUGUAAGUAACUAUGCACGUCUUGACGGUACCUAAUCAGAAAGCCACGGCUAACUACGUG
rnacentral:rRNA from 1 species